rnacentral:lncRNA from 1 species
CAGGACCAGGUAGAAAGUCAAAUAACCUAGGCCCUGCAACAUUGCACCCAGGUAAGAGAGCCAAAUCACCUAAGUGCUGGACCCAGGAAUGGAUUACUGUCUAUCCUACUUCCCCAAAAGAGAAUUAACAGCAUAGAAAUUAUGCCUAAAAGCCAGGUAUUUAUAUACCAGGUUUCUCUUACUGAUAACUCUGGAUUGAGUUGUUUCCAUUAAAUCAACAAUAUUAAAUGUCUUGGGGUGGAGCCAAGAUGGCCAAAUAAGAACAGCUCCAGUCUACAACUCCCAGCAUGAGCGACGCAGAAGACGGGUGAUUUCUGCAUUUCCAACUGAGCUACCGGAGUUUUAGCCAAUUCAGAUGCUUUGUUCCCCACAAUUUGGAACAUUCCUUUGGAUGUGACCAAGUCAGGAAAAGAUGGUCAUACUUCAUGGGAGAAAUGUGAAACAACAAAACCCCAAACAUAAACAAAAACAGUUUAGCAAAACAAACAAAUUCAUAUGAAUACCAAGUGUUCUAACAGUAAGGAGAAAUUAAAACCAGCUGGUUGGUAAUCUUAACUUUUAGUCAUUAAGGAACAUUUUUAAGACAAAACUCUAAUUCAGCUACUUACCUGGAAAUAAAGCUCAGGCUGAUGAUCGCUCUCUACCAUCAUAGAGAGGCAGGAAAAAACUCACACUCACCUUCUCUGUCAGAAGCAAGUUGAAACUCAAGAAAGAAGGUGCCUGCUCUCCAUCGUCAUGGAAGCAGGAAAACUUGCCUUCCUUGUUGGAAAUGAGUAAAACUUCAGAAAAGGAGUUGUACAGCAAAAUAACUUCAAAUAGCAACCAAAUUUUGGGAGAUCAGGGACUCUCUGGAGGGGAGAAGCUCCCCAAGCUCCACAAAUUAGCCUAUUGGCUUGAGAAAUAAAGAUAACCCAGGUUGGUAUCAAGCAAAAAUAAAAGAUUUAUCAAAGGUCAGGGCCAUCUUUGUAAUGUCCU